rnacentral:rRNA from 1 species
ACUCAGAACUGGCGAAAGCGUUCGCAUACGCCCUGAACCAGUGGCCGGCGCUGACGUACUAUGCAGAUGAUGGCUGGGCUGAGGCGGACAAUAACAUCGCUGAAAAUGCGUUGCGGAUGGUCAGUCUGGGCCGCAAAAACUACCUGUUCUUCGGUUCGGAUCAUGGAGGAGAGCGGGGAGCGCUGCUGUACAGCCAGGAUGACCAGCCACACUGGAACUGAGACACGGUCCAGACUCCUACGGGAGGCAGCAGUGGGGAAUAUUGCACAAUGGGCGCAAGCCUGAUGCAGCCAUGCCGCGUGUAUGAAGAAGGCCUUCGGGUUGUAAAGUACUUUCAGCGGGGAGGAAGGGAGUAAAGUUAAUACCUUUGCUCAUUGACGUUACCCGCAGAAGAAGCACCGGCUAACUCCGUGCCAGCAGCCGCGGUAAUACGGAGGGUGCAAGCGUUAAUCGGAAUUACUGGGCGUAAAGCGCACGCAGGCGGUUUGUUAAGUCAGAUGUGAAAUCCCCGGGCUCAACCUGGGAACUGCAUCUGAUACUGGCAAGCUUGAGUCUCGUAGAGGGGGGUAGAAUUCCAGGUGUAGCGGUGAAAUGCGUAGAGAUCUGGAGGAAUACCGGUGGCGAAGGCGGCCCCCUGGACGAAGACUGACGCUCAGGUGCGAAAGCGUGGGGAGCAAACAGGAUUAGAUACCCUGGUAGUCCACGCCGUAAACGAUGUCGACUUGGAGGUUGUGCCCUUGAGGCGUGGCUUCCGGAGCUAACGCGUUAAGUCGACCGCCUGGGGAGUACGGCCGCAAGGUUAAAACUCAAAUGAAUUGACGGGGGCCCGCACAAGCGGUGGAGCAUGUGGUUUAAUUCGAUGCAACGCGAAGAACCUUACCUGGUCUUGACAUCCACGGAAGUUUUCAGAGAUGAGAAUGUGCCUUCGGGAACCGUGAGACAGGUGCUGCAUGGCUGUCGUCAGCUCGUGUUGUGAAAUGUUGGGUUAAGUCCCGCAACGAGCGCAACCCUUAUCCUUUGUUGCCAGCGGUCCGGCCGGGAACUCAAAGGAGACUGCCAGUGAUAAACUGGAGGAAGGUGGGGAUGACGUCAAGUCAUCAUGGCCCUUACGACCAGGGCUACACACGUGCUACAAUGGCGCAUACAAAGAGAAGCGACCUCGCGAGAGCAAGCGGACCUCAUAAAGUGCGUCGUAGUCCGGAUUGGAGUCUGCAACUCGACUCCAUGAAGUCGGAAUCGCUAGUAAUCGUGGAUCAGAAUGCCACGGUGAAUACGUUCCCGGGCCUUGUACACACCGCCCGUCACACCAUGGGAGUGGGUUGCAAAAGAAGUAGGUAGCUUAACCUUCGGGAGGGCGCUUACCACUUUGUGAUUCAUGACUGGGGUGAAGUCGUAACAAGGUAACCGUAGGGGAACCUGCGGUUG